CCUACGGGAGGCAGCAGUGGGGGAUAUUGCACAAUGGGGGGAACCCUGAUGCAGCGACGCCGCGUGGGUGAAGAAGCGCCUCGGCGCGUAAAGCCCUGUCAGCAGGGAAGAAAAUGACGGUACCUGAAGAAGAAGCCCCGGCUAACUACGUGCCAGCAGCCGCGGUAAUACGUAGGGGGCAAGCGUUAUCCGGAUUUAUUGGGUUUAAAGGGUGCGUAGGCGGGCUUUUAAGUCAGCGGUAAAAAUUCGGGGCUCAACCCCGUCCGGCCGUUGAAACUGGGGGCCUUGAGUGGGCGAGAAGAAGGCGGAAUGCGUGGUGUAGCGGUGAAAUGCAUAGAUAUCACGCAGAACCCCGAUUGCGAAGGCAGCCUUCCGGCGCCCUACUGACGCUGAGGCACGAAAGUGCGGGGAUCGAACAGGAUUAGAUACCCCAGUAGUC
rnacentral:rRNA from 1 species